AGCGAACGCUGGCGGCAGGCUUAACUCAUGCCAGUCGAGCGGGCACUUUCGGGUGUCAGCGGCGGACGGGUGCGUAACGCGUGGGAACGUGCCCUCUGGUUCGGAAUAACUCAGGGAAACUUGAGCUAAUACCGGAUACGCCCUUUUGGGGAAAGGCUUGCUGCCGGAGGAUCGGCCCGCGUCUGAUUAGCUAGUUGGUGAGGUAACGGCUCACCAAGGCGACGAUCAGUAGCUGGUCUGAGAGGAUGAUCAGCCACACUGGGACUGAGACACGGCCCAGACUCCUACGGGAGGCAGCAGUGGGGAAUAUUGGACAAUGGGCGCAAGCCUGAUCCAGCCAUGCCGCGUGAGUGAUGAAGGCCUUAGGGUUGUAAAGCUCUUUUAUCCGGGACGAUAAUGACGGUACCGGAGGAAUAAGCCCCGGCUAACUUCGUG
rnacentral:rRNA from 1 species